rnacentral:rRNA from 1 species
GAUGAACGCUGGCGGCGUGCCUAAUACAUGCAAGUCGAGCGAACGGACGAGAUGCUUGCGCCUCUGGUGUUAGCGGCGGAGGGGUGAGUAACACGGGGAUAACCUAACUAUAAGACUGGGAUAACAUCGGGAAACCGUAGCUAAGACCGGAUAAUAUUUUGAACCGCGAGGUUCAAAAGUUAAAGUAGGUCUUUCUGUCGCUUAUAGCUGGAUCCGCGCUGCAUUAAUUAGUUGGUAAGGUAACGGGUUACCAAGGCUAGGAUGCAUAGACGCCCUCAGAGGGUGGACCGCCACCCGGUCACUGAGACACGUCCCCCACUCCGACACGAGGCAGCGGCACGGACUCUUCCGCGAUGGGCCAGUGCCUGACGGAGCACCGCCGCGUGAGUGAUGAAGGACUUAUGCUCGGAGAGCUAUGUUAGUCGUAGAGUUGUAAUGCGUAUGUACCUGUGCUGAUAUUGACGGUACCUAAUCAGAAAGCUACGGCUAACUCCGUG